rnacentral:rRNA from 1 species
GACGAACGCUGGCGGCGUGCCUAACACAUGCAAGUCGAGCGAGUUGAUUCUCUUCGGAGAUGAAGCUAGCGGCGGACGGGUGAGUAACACGUGGGCAACCUGCCUCGUAGAGGGGAAUAGCCUCCCGAAAGGGAGAUUAAUACCGCAUAAGAUUGUAGCUUCGCAUGAAGUAGCAAUUAAAGGAGCAAUCCGAUAUGAGAUGGGCCCGCGGCGGAUUAGCUAGGUGGUGAGGUAACGGCUCACCAAGGCGACGGUGCGUAGCCGACCUGAGAGGGUGAUCGGCCACAUUGGGAGUGAGACACGGCCCAGUCUCCUACGGGAGGCAGCAGUGGGGAAUAUUGCACAAUGGGGGAAACCCUGAUGCAGCAACGCCGCGUGAGUGAUGACGGCCUUCGGGUUGUAAAACUCUGUCUUCAGGGACGAUAAUGACGGUACCUGAGGAGGAAGCCACGGCUAACUACGUGCCAGCAGCCGCGGUAA